rnacentral:piRNA from 1 species
CAACACGUGGAAAUCAAGACCACAAGUGG